rnacentral:misc_RNA from 1 species
AAGUCGUAACAAGGUUUCCGUAGGUGAACCUGCGGAAGGAUCAUUAACAAUGAAUCAUUUCAUUAACACUGUGAACUGUUGGUGGGAUAUUUCUCACCUAAACCCAAACACUUUACUAUCUUCUGGAUCAAAUAACUAUUGUUAUAAAGACAACUUUUAGCAACGGAUCUCUAGGUUCUC